CGCGACCUGGGACCGCACCAUUCCAGGACUCAGGUGGGCGGAGCAGAGCUCAGCUUGGGAGGAGGCGGACGCGAGUAGCUCGGCAGGGGGACUCGCUUGGCUUUCGUGCCAUCCGUGGACACAGUCGCGCGGGAGGAGAAGAUGACAGUGUUCUCCCUAAGGAUGAAGUUUGACUUUUGAAACAUAUCACAUGCUUAAAGCACAUUUGAGCUCCUGCAUGAACAGUAAGCUAGCAGAUGGUAGAAAUAUUCUUUAUUAAUUCAAAAAAUAUUUACUGCGGACCUACAAUGUGCCAAGCAUGUCUCCUGACACUGGGGAUAAGCAGUGAACAACAACAAAAAGACAAACUUCUUCCACCCUGAGGCGUAUGUUCUCGGUCUUUGUGGGAAGAAACAAAUCACAAAAGCAAUUAAGAGAGCUCAAACAAUGGGGUUUAUGCCAGUUACAUACAAGGAUCCUGCAUAUUUCAGGGACCCUAAAGUUUAUAACAUCAGAUAUCCGGAAUAAAUUCCAUCACAUUACCACCAGUAAACUUAUUUUAUAAGAUGGGUCUCACUGUGUUGCCCAGGCUGGUCUCUAACUCCUGGCCUCAAUCAUUCCUGCCUUGUCUUCCCUAAGUGCUGGGAUUACAGCUGUGAGCCACUGUGCCUGGCCUCACUUUUCCAAUUCUAAAGAAUGUGUGUAAGCCUUUCCCUCAACAACUUAUUGAAAGGCGAAAAAAGGUUUGGAAAUAAAAGGAUCUGAUGUUUGAAAAAGUACUUUGUAAAAUAAAUGCACUAAGACUUAUCUGUGGAUUACUGCAAAGAGGUGAAUAUAGUAAAAACAAAUGAACUUACCUGUAUUACUGCAAGUAGC
rnacentral:lncRNA from 1 species